rnacentral:rRNA from 1 species
CUAAGGCUCCAGAGGAAGCCACGGCUAACUCUGUGCCAGCAGCCGCGGUAAUACAGAGGCGGCAAGCGUUGUUCGGAAUUAUUGGGCGUAAAGAGCACGUAGGCGGCCUUGCAAGUCAGUUGUGAAAGCCUUCCGCUUAACGGAAGAAUGCCAGCUGAUACUACAGGGCUCGAGUACGGGAGGGGAGAGUGGAACUUCUGGUGGGGCGGUGAAAUGCGUAGAUAUCAGAAGGAACGCCGGCGGCGAAAGCGACUCUCUGGCCCGAAACUGACGCUGAGUGUGCGAAAGCUAGGGGAGCAAACGGGAUUAGAUACCCCGGUAGUCCUAGCCGUAAA